UGAACGCUGGCGGCGUGCCUAAUACAUGCAAGUCGAGCGAACAGAUGAGGAGCUUGCUCCUCUGACGUUAGCGGCGGACGGGUGAGUAACACGUGGAUAACCUACCUAUAAGACUGGGAUAACUUCGGGAAACCGGAGCUAAUACCGGAUAAUAUAUUGAACCGCAUGGUUCAAUAGUGAAAGACGGUUUUGCUGUCACUUAUAGAUGGAUCCGCGCCGCAUUAGCUAGUUGGUAAGGUAACGGCUUACCAAGGCAACGAUGCGUAGCCGACCUGAGAGGGUGAUCGGCCACACUGGAACUGAGACACAGUCCAGACUCCUACGGGAGGCAGCAGUAGGGAAUCUUCCGCAAUGGGCGAAAGCCUGACGGAGCAACGCCGCGUGAGUGAUGAAGGUCUUCGGAUCGUAAAACUCUGUUAUUAGGGAAGAACAAAUGUGUAAGUAACUAUGCACGUCUUGACGGUACCUAAUCAGAAAGCCACGGCUAACUACGUG
rnacentral:rRNA from 1 species